rnacentral:rRNA from 1 species
CCUACGGGAGGCUGCAGUGAGGAAUAUUGGUCAAUGGGCGGAAGCCUGAACCAGCCAAGUAGCGUGCGGGAUGAAGGCCCUACGGGUCGUAAACCGCUUUUGCACGGGGAUAACACCCUCCACUUGUGGAGGUCUGCAGGUACCGUGCGAAUAAGGGCCGGCUAAUUCCGUGCCAGCAGCCGCGGUAAUACGGAAGGUCCGAGCGUUAUCCGGCUUCAUUGGGCUUAAAGGGAGCGUAGGCGGGCGUUCAAGUCAGCUGUAAAAUCGCGCGGCUCAACCGCGCCCCGCAGUUGAAACUGGAAGCCUUGAGUUCACAACAGGCAGGCGGAAUGCGUGGUGUAGCGGUGAAAUGCAUAGAUAUCACGAGGAACCCCGAUUGCGAAGGCAGCCUGCCGGGGUGCGACUGACGCUGAGGCUCGAAGGUGCGGGUAUCAAACAGGGCUAGAUACCCUAGUAGUC